rnacentral:rRNA from 1 species
GACGAACGCUGGCGGCGUGCUUAACACAUGCAAGUCGAACGAAGAGCGACGGAAGCUUGCUUCUAUCAAUCUUAGUGGCGAACGGGUGAGUAACGCGUAAUCAACCUGCCCUUCAGAGGGGGACAACAGUUGGAAACGACUGCUAAUACCGCAUACGAUCUAACCUCGGCAUCGAGGAUAGAUGAAAGGUGGCCUCUACAUGUAAGCUAUCACUGAAGGAGGGGAUUGCGUCUGAUUAGCUAGUUGGAGGGGUAACGGCCCACCAAGGCGAUGAUCAGUAGCCGGUCUGAGAGGAUGAACGGCCACAUUGGGACUGAGACACGGCCCAGACUCCUACGGGAGGCAGCAGUGGGGAAUCUUCCGCAAGGGACGAAAGUCUGACGGAGCAACGCCGCGUGAGUGAUGACGGCCUUCGGGUUGUAAAGCUCUGUUAAUCGGGACGAAAGGCCUUCUUGCGAAUAGUGAGAAGGAUUGACGGUACCGGAAUAGAAAGCCACGGCUAACUACGUG